GAACGCUAUCUACAGGCUUAACACAUGCAAGUCGAGGGGCAGCAUGGUCUUAGCUUGCUAAGGCCGAUGGCGACCGGCGCACGGGUGAGUAACACGUAUCCAACCUGCCGUCUACUCUUGGACAGCCUUCUGAAAGGAAGAUUAAUACAAGAUGGCAUCAUGAGUCCGCAUGUUCACAUGAUUAAAGGUAUUCCGGUAGACGAUGGGGAUGCGUUCCAUUAGAUAGUAGGCGGGGUAACGGCCCACCUAGUCUUCGAUGGAUAGGGGUUCUGAGAGGAAGGUCCCCCACAUUGGAACUGAGACACGGUCCAAACUCCUACGGGAGGCAGCAGUGAGGAAUAUUGGUCAAUGGGCGCAGGCCUGAACCAGCCAAGUAGCGUGAAGGAUGACUGCCCUAUGGGUUGUAAACUUCUUUUAUAAAGGAAUAAAGUCGGGUAUGGAUACCCGUUUGCAUGUACUUUAUGAAUAAGGAUCGGCUAACUCCGUGCCAGCAGCCGCGGUAAUACGGAGGAUCCGAGCGUUAUCCGGAUUUAUUGGGUUUAAAGGGAGCGUAGAUGGAUGUUUAAGUCAGUUGUGAAAGUUUGCGGCUCAACCGUAAAAUUGCAGUUGAUACUGGAUAUCUUGAGUGCAGUUGAGGCAGGCGGAAUUCGUGGUGUAGCGGUGAAAUGCUUAGAUAUCACGAAGAACUCCGAUUGCGAAGGCAGCCUGCUAAGCUGCAACUGACAUUGAGGCUCGAAAGUGUGGGUAUCAAACAGGAUUAGAUACCCUGGUAGUCCACACGGUAAACGAUGAAUACUCGCUGUUUGCGAUAUACUGCAAGCGGCCAAGCGAAAGCGUUAAGUAUUCCACCUGGGGAGUACGCCGGCAACGGUGAAACUCAAAGGAAUUGACGGGGGCCCGCACAAGCGGAGGAACAUGUGGUUUAAUUCGAUGAUACGCGAGGAACCUUACCCGGGCUUAAAUUGCAGAUGAAUUACGGUGAAAGCCGUAAGCCGCAAGGCAUCUGUGAAGGUGCUGCAUGGUUGUCGUCAGCUCGUGCCGUGAGGUGUCGGCUUAAGUGCCAUAACGAGCGCAACCCUUGUUGUCAGUUACUAACAGGUUCCGCUGAGGACUCUGACAAGACUGCCAUCGUAAGAUGUGAGGAAGGUGGGGAUGACGUCAAAUCAGCACGGCCCUUACGUCCGGGGCUACACACGUGUUACAAUGGGGGGUACAGAGGGCCGCUACCACGCGAGUGGAUGCCAAUCCCAAAAACCUCUCUCAGUUCGGACUGGAGUCUGCAACCCGACUCCACGAAGCUGGAUUCGCUAGUAAUCGCGCAUCAGCCACGGCGCGGUGAAUACGUUCCCGGGCCUUGUACACACCGCCCGUCAAGCCAUGGGAGCCGGGGGUACCUGAAGUGCGUAACCGCGAGGAGCGCCCUAGGGUAAAACUGGUGACUGG
rnacentral:rRNA from 1 species